UUAUACAGACUUUGAUCGAGGUUCUCCAACAGAGGAUCUGGUUGGUGACCCUGUGGAGCCCAUGGAUCUGUUCUACCCUGACAAAGAAGAGCUCAUGUUUACAGAGCAACCUGACACUGAAGCGCAGACCUGGCCCUCUGUUUGAGUGUCUCUGCUCUGCAGCCAGCACCACCUUCAGACAUUCUGCCAGAUGACCAACAAUUCGAUCCGCUGGGUGAAGACUUCAGGGAAGUGGACUUGAUACAGGAGCACGAUAAGGUGAUCACAAAGGCCACCCAAGAGACAAAGAAUGUAUUUGGAUCCCAGCAGCAUUGCUUGUUGCCUGGAGUGAAGCUAUGUAAGCCCUUAGGAGAUGCUGAUGUUCUAGCAGACAGGAGGGAUCCCAGUGAGGCUGAGCAACAGAAGCCAGUCUCUGCCAGGGAAAACACAGAGCCUGUGAGGAGCAGUGCAGGUUCCAGCAAACAAGGUGAAAGCCAUAUCCCACCAGUUCUCCGUCACAGAAAGGGGGCUCAUUGCCCUGAGUCAGUGGACAGUCAGAGAGCUGUAACUGCAAAAGCUGACGGCGAUGACUCUGAUUUUUGGUGGAGGGAGAACUGGGAGCUACGUGUGCUGCUGCUGCUAUGGUUACUGCUCUACUGUUUCUGGGUGUUGCCUCAGAUCGACCUGAAGACACUGCCCAACAUGCUGCUGAACCGCUGAACACACACACACACACAUGCACAAGCACAGCUUCUCUGAGCUAUGAGGAAAAAUAAAAAACUUUAAGUUUUUUAACAUGCACAUGCUCACACAGCCAACUGCCACAUUUUAAUGAAUCUACAUUAAGUGAAGAUAUUUAAAACAUGUAUAAUUUCAAACUUACAAGAGUUGGUUUUCUAUGUUUUGGUUUUUGGCUUCUAGUGUGGCUUGAAUCAGUCUAUGUGAGAGUGUAAAGGUCACUGGGGGAGGAAAAACAUUGCAGUCUUUUUAGAAAAAGAUCAUGCUUUUAUGAAAAUAAAGUUACAAAUUUAAGGAUAAAAAUAAACAAACCCGAUUCUGAAAAAGAUUGGACACUGUGUAAAAUGUAAGAAAAAAACCUCAACAGAAUUCUGUGAUCAGACAAACCAAUUUGAAAUUCUUCUUGGAAUGAAGAGGAGCUUGUUAUCAGCACUCAGUUCAAAAACCAGCAUCUUUGAUGGUAUGGGGCUGCAUUAGUGGCUAUGGAACUAGCAGCUGGCACAUCUGGAAAGACACAAUCAAUGCUACAAGGUCUAUAUACAUUUAAGAGAAACUAGCCAAAGACAUUAUCCUUUGGAUGGAUGCUCUCAUCCAAAGAUGACCAAGGACCGUUGAGCAGCUACAAUCCCAUGUAAGACAAGAAUGGGCCAAUAUUCCACUCCUAAAAGUCCCAACUGCUGGGCCAUGUUCCAGGAAGCAUGUUGAAAAAUAACAGAGAUGGGCAAUUCAGAGUUUCUUGUUCUGGAACAGCUGAUUGGAGUUAGGUCAAUCAACUCUGAAUGUGGUCACCCUGAGAUAUGCGCAUGCAUGGCCAGGGAAAGAAAACCAUCAUUAAUGGAGCUCUGAUACUAUUAUUCACCACAGAAUAUGAACAGGAGGGAAAAAGAGUACUAUUAAUCAGUGUGGGCCACUUUGUCAUCAUCACAGAUAAGUUUGAUAAUAAAAUAUAGCAUUUUUACUGCUAAGCCAUUAAAGGCUGAUGGGUAUUGUCAUCACCCUGUCAGGUCGACAUCCAAUUUCGUGAACACGCGAACGAGGUAACGAAGGAUUUUUAAAUUAAUACAUAGGUACAUCUGUUAGAAGAUUCUGGGGUAGCAGUGGCGGUAUAGUUUUUAUAACGCCUGCUGGCAUCAUGCACCCAACUAUUUUUUUAGAUGAAGCUAGAAUCCUAAUUUGAUUUGAUAUCUAAAUUUAAUUAUUCACUUCUAACCUAAGAACUACAAAAUGUAGGUGAAAAAAGCGAAGAUAAAAAUGUCAGAUCUGAAUCCAUGAUCUGUUUUGGAUAAGUGGACUCUGACACGGUUUGCUGAUCUUUUGCAGAGCCUAUGAUCUCAGCAAUUAAGGUUCCAGGUUGACUCGACACUAAUUUAGCUGCUUUUCAGUGUAAAAUGUGUCAAGGCUCAGACUCUGAAAUUCAGAUACCAAAAUGUUGUUUGACAUAAUUCAUAAUAAUAAUGACUUCAUCUCAGUCUGUGAACACAUGUAAAUGCUCAGAACCUGCAGAUAGUCCAUGUUUAAGAACAACUCUAAAAUAUAUGGAGUUCAGUUUGAGUGUCAAUGUCGUGAUAUGUUGUGCGGCAGGCAGGGCUUGGACCCGAUAUGCAGGACCCUGGAGACAAAAGGAUAAACUCAAAAGGAUGUUUACUCCUGGAUGUCAAGGAGACAAAGCUGGGCUCAAGGCAGAAUUGCAAAAGUAGGAGACAAAAGAGAAAAAACAGAACGUGGGAGCAUGGACAAUAAAACAUGAACUGAAGAAAACUGAGACAACUGACUGGCAAAAUCAGACAGGAAGUCAUGAAAACACCUGCACUGAGGGAACAGGGAAGGCUAGGAAGAAUAAGUAUAAACCAAAUCACCAAAACCAGAAUGAUAAUAAAAGAUAGACAUUAAUUGAAACGUGUUUAUUAAAUUAUAAACAAAAACCCAGAAACUUCAGGACAUAAUCCAAACAUAAUUACAAUAACACAAAAAAAUAGAUUUAAAAAAAUUAACUGAGGAAAAAGAACAACAAACUGAAAACACUGACUCCAGGAACCAUGACACUUAAAGUCAUCUCAGCCCCACCUAGUGUUCGCGCAAAUAUUUACAUCAGCUCCAAGAUCCAGAUGUGACACGUUUUUCGUCACUGUGACAGCUGAUAAUAUUUCCAGUGUGCAACACACAGUAAAUGUUUUCAGGAAACUGGCUGACAGCCUGACAGCAUUAUUGUCAAGGACUUAGAAAGAUGGAGAGUAUAGAUAUGACUUUGAGUUUGUUAACCCUGAGAUGAGGGAAACUUUAUUAUCAACUCAGUUUUAGUUAAGCCUUCUUCCCAGAUGCUCAUAGUGUUUAUACAAGCUGCCAUCAAAUUCAAGAUGACCUAAUAAUUUUCUUAAAUAAUCCCAAGUUUAAACAUUUAUUAUUUUUUCAGUUUUUUUAAAUUGUGAAUAAAAUAUGGGUUUAUGAGAUUUGCAAAUCAUUGCAUUCUGUUUUUAAACACAUUUUGCACAGGAACCAAAAAAAGCUACAUUUCAAACACACACAGUAUCUUUGACUUUUACAUGACUGUAAAAGAUCCUGCAACUUUAUUCUUGAAAUUUCAGUGCACUCAUAUUAAUUAAUAUUAAAAUAAAUGUAUCAACUUUUACAAAAAGGGGGGUUAUAGAAUAAAAGUUUUAAUAGAAAAAUAAAGGCUUUUUUUGUUUUGUACAAAUAAGUCCUAUUUAUAAAGGCUUAAGAAUAAAGCUGCAGUUGUGCAAGUAAAACUGUAACAACAUCUAUGUAGGUAUAUGGUACAAUGCAUUUUUAAAUACACUUAUCAGACAUUUGUUUUUAAGGCUUUAUGCAUUUCAGAUGUCUAAUGUAUCAAAACAUUAGAUACUAUUUAAAAAUCAUUAAAUUAUUACAUUAAAACACAUAGUCGCCAUACAUUAAUUGUGUUGCUGUAGCCUGUCCUGCCUGGGGCACAUCCACAGUUAGUGCAUUGUAAUGUACAUCUCCACAGAUGAGUCCAUGCAAUCAGAAAAACUUGACAGGCUUGGAGAUGUCCUCAUGAACUCGUGCACUCACUGUCCUGUGAGAAAAAUGUCACUUGAACCCAAGCAGGCCCUGCUACGUUAAUGUGACUUUUUGUCCACCACUGCUAUAUAGACCUUGUCACAUAUUAUUAGAAACCUUUAGUCAGGUGUCAAGCUCCAUAACAGCAUUAUGCUGAUUUGCAUCAUAGACAUGAUGACCUUAAUAAACAAGGUUUUGAGUUAAUAAUAUUUAUAGUUAAGUUGUCAUUUUAAUUUUUAGUUGUAAUUUAAUUUUUUUCUAAUGAAUUCUUCUCUAUUGAAAUGGCGUUGUGUGAUGAAAAUGAACUUGUAAUUUGCCAAAUUAUAAAUAAUUAUAAAAAUGAAAGUGUGUUUGUAAAAUCAAGGCAUAUUUUCAUCUCUCAUAAGGCUUUUUCUUUUCACAUUUUCCCAUGUAGAGAUGCAGCUUUGUUCUUUAAAUCCAAACUUCAUUGUAUAUUAGAAAAUUAUGACUAUUACUAGUAAUAACAUCUUUAAUCAGAAAAUGGCACAUUUCUUAAAAUAUCACAUUCAUAUAUUUAUUCAGCUGUGGCCUUGAUAUUUUGUUGCAUAUGUGCUUACAAAUGCAUUAUUAUAUUUUUGUGGUUGAUCAUAACUGUACAGUAGACUUGAUUGUACACAAAAGAACAUACUAUGGAUAAAUGAAUGCAAAAUGUAAAGCCAUCUAAACCUGAUGAAGAUUUUAUGAGGGUGUUAUCAAAAAGUUCUUCGAAUCUGGUUCAAGGAGAAGGCGUCCUUGAAGGGUAUAUGAACUAAAUUUUAACCAAAAAUGUUUUUUUUUAGUUUUAUUUUUUAUAGGUGGAUUUUUGAUGGCACUUUGAAAAAUUGUAGGACAAUAUAUGUCAAAAUUUUGGAAUACUGAGCUUCCAUACCAGCACUAUGAAGGAAGAAUUUUGAGUCUUUUGCACUUUUAAGAAGGAACACAAACUGCCAAAGAUAGUGUUGGAAGUGCAAACAGAAAUGACACAACUCACCACAGGCCCAAUAAUGGAGUCUUGUUUUUAAACACACAUAAAGUCACAUAUAUCUUGUGUAGUAAAGCGUCACCCCGUCUCCAUGUUGUAUAAUAUUAGGCAGAAUAUGAAUUUGUAAUAUUUUAUGCCUGGAUCAAUGGAUUUAUUAAAACAUUUAUGAUAAAGACAUGUUUUAUGUGUUUAAGCUAUGCUUUAGCCUGUCCAAGCCUGCUAUUGAAAAAGAAUGCGCUGAAAUAUCUUUGUUAUUUUUGAACAAUGUCUGUAAUGAAGCAAUAUGACAAAAGGAUAACAAA